rnacentral:rRNA from 2 species
UAGUCUGAUGGAGCACGCCGCGUGAGUGAAGAAGGGUUUCGGCUCGUAAAACUCUGUUGUUAAAGAAGAACAUAUCUGAGAGUAACUGUUCAGGUAUUGACGGUAUUUAACCAGAAAGCCACGGCUAACUACGUGCCAGCAGCCGCGGUAAUACGUAGGUGGCAAGCGUUGUCCGGAUUUAUUGGGCGUAAAGCGAGCGCAGGCGGUUUUUUAAGUCUGAUGUGAAAGCCUUCGGCUCAACCGAAGAAGUGCAUCGGAAACUGGGAAACUUGAGUGCAGAAGAGGACAGUGGAACUCCAUGUGUAGCGGUGAAAUGCGUAGAUAUAUGGAAGAACACCAGUGGCGAAGGCGGCUGUCUGGUCUGUAACUGACGCUGAGGCUCGAAAGUAUGGGUAGCAAACAGGAUUAGAUACCCUGGUAGUCCAUACCGUAAACGAUGAAUGCUAAGUGUUGGAGGGUUUCCGCCCUUCAGUGCUGCAGCUAACGCAUUAAGCAUUCCGCCUGGGGAGUACGGCCGCAAGGCUGAAACUCAAAGGAAUUGACGGGGGCCCGCACAAGCGGUGGAGCAUGUGGUUUAAUUCGAAGCUACGCGAAGAACCUUACCAGGUCUUGACAUACUAUGCAAAUCUAAGAGAUUAGACGUUCCCUUCGGGGACAUGGAUACAGGUGGUGCAUGGUUGUCGUCAGCUCGUGUCGUGAGAUGUUGGGUUAAGUCCCGCAACGAGCGCAACCCUUAUUAUCAGUUGCCAGCAUUAAGUUGGGCACUCUGGUGAGACUGCCGGUGACAAACCGGAGGAAGGUGGGAUGACGUCAAAUCAUCAUGCCCCUUAUGACUGGGCUACACACGUGCUACAAUGGAUGGUACAACGAGU